GAUGAACGCUGGCGGCGUGCCUAAUACAUGCAAGUCGAGCGAACGGACGAGAAGCUUGCUUCUCUGAUGUUAGCGGCGGACGGGUGAGUAACACGUGGAUAACCUACCUAUAAGACUGGGAUAACUUCGGGAAACCGGAGCUAAUACCGGAUAAUAUUUUGAACCGCAUGGUUCAAAAGUGAAAGACGGUCUUGCUGUCACUUAUAGAUGGAUCCGCGCUGCAUUAGCUAGUUGGUAAGGUAACGGCUUACCAAGGCAACGAUGCAUAGCCGACCUGAGAGGGUGAUCGGCCACACUGGAACUGAGACACGGUCCAGACUCCUACGGGAGGCAGCAGUAGGGAAUCUUCCGCAAAGGGCGAAAGCCUGACGGAGCAACGCCGCGUGAGUGAUGAAGGUCUUCGGAUCGUAAAACUCUGUUAUUAGGGAAGAACAUAUGUGUAAGUAACUGUGCACAUCUUGACGGUACCUAAUCUGAAAGCCACGGCUAACUACGUG
rnacentral:rRNA from 1 species